rnacentral:tRNA from 1 species
AAGGUAGUGAUGGAAUUGGUAGACAUGAAUAACUUAGGAUUAUUUGAUUUAAUAGAUCUUAUCCGUUCAAGUCGGAUUUACCUUA